CGUAGCCACCGAGCACUGAUUGCCACAUUCAUCCACCGCUAGUCUCGCUCUGUGUGGCGCUGCCGUGGUGCAUUUGUUAGGAACGUGGAAACCUGUGGAACGGGGCAGAAAAUAGCCUGAUGUGAGAGCUGUUGUCAUCCCAUUGCUUGCAGCUAUAAGUAGCUUUGAUGAACCCUGCAGCGAGAGGAAGAUCUAGGCCCCUUCCGUACUCAGAUUGUAACAAGUGCGGGGCGGCAUGAUGAGCGGAUUGUUGUUCCGACGAUGAUGCAGGAACUCCGAAGACAGCGUAGCGUGCAAGCAGACAACUGCAGUGAUCGACUGGCAUUCUGCUCCCACUGACGGAAACCAAGGAGGGCUCAUUUUUGCUGUCUUCUGUCUGCAGCAGAGCUACUGAGGCACAACGUUGGCAUGCAACAGCCAGCAUCUCACAGCAUGCUACCGCUUCUCUCCCACUCUGUGUAAGCCGCUCAACUCCGACACCACAACCAUCAUUAAAGUGUUCCAGCUGAUCACACGCUUUAAUUGGACCAUACCACUGACCUGGGCAAAACUAGGGCCUCGUUAGCUUAGCUGCAGAACAAAGUCGACAGACAAACAAACAAGCAAACAAAUGAGAAUGAAACUUAGAUGUUGACUUGGAGCAUGUAGCAUCCAUCAAGCAGAACAAUUGGACCGUUUUGUGGUGGGCUAUACUAUAUAUUGUCUAAACAAAUUCAUUGUAUACAAUGUCCUUCCUCUAAUCCACUAUGUCACCUCAAUGGUUAUAUAUCAGUGAUGUGCGGUGAGGUUCAUGGCUGGUGAGGCACUGACUUCAUCACAAUGAGAUUUACAAACAUAUGAACCCUAAAGAGUAUCUCAUUCACCAUUUGAU